UACGUAGGUGGCGAGCGUUGUCCGGAAUUACUGGGCGUAAAGGGCGCGUAGGCGGGGGAGCAAGUCAGAUGUGAAAUUCCGAGGCUUAACCUCGGCGCUGCAUCUGAAACUGUUUCUCUUGAGUGCUGGAGAGGAAAGCGGAAUUCCCAGUGUAGCGGUGAAAUGCGUAGAGAUUGGGAGGAACACCAGUGGCGAAGGCGGCUUUCUGGACAGUAACUGACGCUGAGGCGCGAAAGCGUGGGGAGCAAACAGG
rnacentral:rRNA from 1 species